ACCAGAGACUCAAAUCGGAGGUAUCGCCGUCGUUCCGGUGUUAGUUCAUCAUCUCCACCGCUGCACUUUCUGAUGCAUCCACUGCUCCUUUCGCUUCUAGGUUUCUCUACGGAUAUAAAACAUCAGUGGAAGUGAAGAUGAAGAUGAAGAUGAAGCUGGUGGAUCCCAAUCCUGAGCAUCAAAGAAGAAAGAGAAUAAGCGACAAGAGCGGGAAGCACAAAGACGAUCUAGCAUAUGUAAAAUCGAGGUUUUUGGACCUUGAAGAUGACUUUUAUGUUUAUAUGUGAUCAAGAGUUUAGAUUGGUUUAAAAUCAAAAUCACUAGGGAUUUCGAUUUUGUUGAAAUCUGUUAAUUGUGAGCUUUGAUCCCAACUUUUGGAUGUUGUUUGGGAUUCCAAAAACUCUUUUAAUAGAUUUUGACUCUUGUCACUUAUUCA